UGGAACGGACUAACGGGAGGACCCCCCUCUUACACGGUGUUGUUUCAUUAACAAGUCAUUUAAGACCUUUCUUUCCCUAUUCUUUCCCAAACACAGCCCACAAUUUGGCCCAAAAUCUCAUCUUUGAAAUCAAAUCGCUAGGGUUUCCUUUGCUAGCAGCCGAACCACCAUAGUUUUGGUGAUCAACAGCAUGCAAACAGUACCCAACCUCGCCAUUGAAGGUGUUCGAUUAUGCCUAAAAGGAUUUGGAACGGCCGUACGGAGGAGUUGGGAAAGGCGCACGUGAAAGAGGUCGUGCGGGGAAACUACUCGUGGGAGCCCAACCCCCUGGCACUGUUCUGACACGUUCCAAAAACUUCUAGUGCUCUCGACUAUUAAUAUUCCUUUCGGGUUUGGGCUGUUUGAACUAAGGAUUUUUUAGUAUAGCUCUCUUGGAUUAUGUAAUUGGGUUAAAUCUAUAUUAAGGGAUUUUGGGUUUAAAUUAUUUUUGGCCCAAAUAUUUGUAACCGGACAUCGGACUUCUGAAUUUGGAUUCUUUAUUUGUGUGUUUUUUAUUUAA